GAGUUUGAUCCUGGCUCAGAUUGAACGCUGGCGGCAUGCUUUACACAUGCAAGUCGAACGGCAGCGGGGGCUUCGGCCUGCCGGCGAGUGGCGAACGGGUGAGUAAUGCAUCGGAACGUGCCCAUGUCGUGGGGGAUAACGUAUCGAAAGGUACGCUAAUACCGCAUACGCCCUGAGGGGGAAAGCGGGGGAUUCUUCGGAACCUCGCGCGAUUGGAGCGGCCGAUGUCGGAUUAGCUAGUAGGUGAGGUAAAGGCUCACCUAGGCGACGAUCCGUAGCGGGUCUGAGAGGAUGAUCCGCCACACUGGGACUGAGACACGGCCCAGACUCCUACGGGAGGCAGCAGUGGGGAAUUUUGGACAAUGGGCGCAAGCCUGAUCCAGCCAUGC
rnacentral:rRNA from 1 species